CCCGUCUCACGUCCGACCGAUUUUAUAAUCUCUGGUACGAUAUUUUUUGGUUUUGCCGGAAACAUGUCGGGCGGUACAAGUGAACAAAAUAAAAUUAACGACGAACAAUUAUUAGAAUGUGUGAAAAAAUAUAAUGUUUUAUAUGAUUUGUCGCAUGCAAAAUACAUGGACACUAAUUUUAAAAGUAAUAUUUGGAAGGAAAUCGGAAAAGAAAUGAAAACACAAGAUCAACUGUGUAAGACUAGAUGGGGAAAUAUUAGAGACACAUUUAAAAAAUAUUUGAAAAAAAAAACAUUAUAAAAAGUGGACAAAGUCGUAAAGAAACAAAGAGAUACAAAUACGCUGAUCAAUUAAGUUUUUUGAAAAAACAUUUUAAUGAAAGAGAAACGAUAACUAACAUUAAGGAUAUUGAUAACACCCAACAAGAGACUGAAGAAAUAGUGCCUGCAGAUGAAGAAAGUAAUUCUGGUGAUGAGAAAGAACAAAAUGUUUCUGUAAUGGAUGAACGAAAUGAGAAAAAGUCAAAGAGAAGAUUCCUCUGCUUCAACACAAAGGACUGAAAAACUACCUAUUCAAAAACAAACUACUACAUCAAAAAAGAACAUCAGUAAAAGAAAAGUUACAUAUUCUCAGCCUACUGCUUCAGCAAAACUCAUGGACUAUUUAAUAAACAAACGUAAGGAACAAGUUACGGCACCACCAGAUGCAGUUGAUGCCUUCCUAACUGGCAUAACACCAGCCCUAAAAUCUCUUUCGCCUCUAAAUUUUCAUUUUGCCAAAUCAGAAAUAUUUUCGGUUGUACAGAAAUAUGAACUAAAGUCUCUUCAAGAACCAAUUUAUAAUAAUUGUAAUCAACAACAAUCACAUGCUACAACAGCUCCUCCAAUGGUAUCGCCGGCAUCCAGUUACCAAUAUUCUAAUACAUCAACAAGCAAUACAUCGAUGCAAUCACCUGUUUAUACCCAACUGCAAUCUCCACCGCCAAUACAAACUAUUGAUGAUAAUACAGGCUCUUCUCACUUUCAGGACUUGCAGGACUGUUUCCACAGAUUUCAUUAAAAUAUGUAUUUUAUAUUCAAACUAGUAUUAGAUAGUGUUGUAGUGAUUGAGAAAUUUUUUAAUUAUUUCAGUCAGUUUCAAAAAAUACCAUUCGUACGUUUAAAAAUUUUUAAAAAAAUAUUAUUUUAUAAAUUUA